CCUUAAUUUAAAAUUAUCAAACUUUCCUCUUUCCCACCCUCUCAAUUGCAAAAACCUAAUCUUAUCCCACUUUCUUUUAUUUUUUCUUUUCAUUUUAUUCCAUAUCUUCUCAUCUCGUUAGUUCUUCUCUCACAUCUCUCUUUCCUCUCUUUCUUCUACAAAAUUCCGUCGAACAUACCAAAAAGAGCUGUUAAAGCUGUAACCUUAUAGUAAAGGAGUUGAAGAUUUGAUGGAAGCGCCAGAGAAAUCAAGAAAAACCUCCGAAGAUUGGUUUCUGCAACAACAAGGCCAUCAAAGGAGAUGUUGACAAACUCCUAGAACUCACGAUGAGAUCUGAUGCAACGCUGAACACAUGCUGCUAGGUUGGAACUUCGAAGGACCAGAUCCAACGCCUAGCCAGAUUUGUCCACCACAAACUUGUCCUUCAACCUAUUUAGUGGACCAGACCCGUUUUUCUUACGGACAAAACUUUUCCUUAUAUUAGACCAGAUCCGUUUUUUGUUGACGUAUGAAGUUUAUUGCAAUUGGUAGUUUGACAUUGGAGAAUUCACGGAGGAUGACAAUAUGAUUGACAAAAGAAGUCUAAAAACGUUCAAGAUGACAUUGGUGAACUCCUGAAGGACAACAAUGUUACUACACAAAAAAUGUCUGAAGACGUUCAUAUUGACAUUUGAGAACUCCCGGAGGACAACAAUGUUACUACACAUUGAAGGUAUGCCUCUGUGGACCAGCUUUAUCUUUGUUUUGUCCACUAGAUUUUCAUUUAUGGACCACUUACUUUUUUGUCUAUCCAACCAUGUUGUCUAUUAAGUUCCUGAUGGACCAAAUUUUAUUUGAAUAUCUUAAGUCCAUCAAACUCUUGGAGGACAACAAUGAUACACAGAGAAGGUAUGUCUCUGUUGGUGGACCACAAUAGGCUUACUAUUAUCUUUCCAACUCAUCUUGUCUAUUAACUUCUAGAUGACCAAUUUAUUUAAAAAAAUAUUAAAUUCAUCAAACUCACAUGUUUGUUGUCUAUUGCGCAGACUUGAAAUUGAUGAAUUCUCGGAAGACAACCAUAUUAUUGACCUGGAGAACUCCACCAACUUCAAUCUCUUUUAUAUCUACAUGUGUAUAAACAAUGAUAAUUAAAAAAAAAAUGUUUGCCCAAAAAUUAAUG